CACGUAGGGCGCAAGCGUUGUCCGGAAUUAUUGGGCGUAAAGAGCUCGUAGGCGGUCUGUCGCGUCGGUCGUGAAAACUUGGGGCUUAACUCUGAGCUUGCGGUCGAUACGGGCAUGACUGGAGUUCGGCAGGGGAGACUGGAAUUCCUGGUGUAGCGGUGAAAUGCGCAGAUAUCAGGAGGAACACCGGUGGCGAAGGCGGCGAUCUGGGUAGAUACUGACGCUGAGGUGCGAAAGCGUGGGGAGCGAACAGG
rnacentral:rRNA from 1 species